GGCUUUGCCUGAGGCGGCGGCGGGGGUCGCGGUCGCCCACCCUGCGGCGGCCCGCUGUCAGUCGGCUCCCGUCCCCGGCCGGCGGGCGAUGGUGCGGCGGAGCGCGCGGACGCGGGCGGCGCGGCGGCGGGCAUGAGGGAGGAUGGAAGGGCAGGACGAGGUGUCGGCGCGGGAGCAGCACUUCCACAGCCAAGUGCGGGAGUCCACGAUAUGUUUCCUUCUUUUUGCCAUUCUCUACAUUGUUUCCUACUUCAUCAUCACAAGAUACAAGAGAAAAUCAGAUGAACAAGAAGAUGAAGAUGCCAUAGUCAACAGGAUUUCGUUGUUUUUGAGCACGUUCACUCUGGCAGUGUCAGCUGGGGCUGUUUUGCUUUUGCCCUUUUCAAUAAUCAGCAAUGAAAUCCUGCUUUCUUUUCCUCAGAACUACUAUAUUCAAUGGCUAAAUGGCUCCCUAAUUCAUGGUUUGUGGAAUCUUGCUUCUCUCUUUUCCAACCUUUGUUUAUUUGUGUUGAUGCCCUUUGCCUUUUUCUUUCUGGAAUCUGAAGGUUUUGCUGGCCUGAAAAAGACUAAAGUCCAAGGGGAGAAGCAGCUUGAGGAAGGACACAAGAAGGGAAUCCGAGCUCGAAUUUUAGAAACUGUGGUCAUGCUUGUCCUUCUCGCACUCCUUAUUCUCGGGAUAGUGUGGGUAGCCUCUGCACUCAUUGACAAUGACGCUGCAAGCAUGGAGUCUUUGUAUGAUCUCUGGGAGUUCUACCUACCCUAUUUAUAUUCCUGUAUAUCUCUGAUGGGAUGUUUGUUACUUCUCUUAUGUACCCCUGUGGGCCUUUCCCGCAUGUUCACAGUGAUGGGUCAGUUGCUGGUGAAGCCAACAAUUCUUGAAGACCUGGAUGAGCAAAUUUAUAUUAUUACCCUAGAGGAGGAAGCCCUCCAGAGACGACUAAAUGGACUGUCUUCAUCAGUGGAUUACAACAUAAUGGAUUUGGAACAAGAACUUGAAAAUGUGAAGACUCUUAAGACAAAAUUAGAAAGGCGAAAAAAAGCUUCAGCAUGGGAAAGAAAUUUGGUGUAUCCUGCUGUUAUGGUUCUCCUCCUUAUUGAGACAUCCAUCUCGGUCCUCUUGGUGGCUUGUAAUAUUCUUUGCCUGUUGGUUGAUGAAACAGCCAUGCCAAAGGGAACAAGGGGUCCUGGAAUAGGAAAUGCUUCUCUUUCUGCUUUUGGUUUUGUGGGAGCUGCACUUGAAAUCAUUUUGAUUUUCUAUCUUAUGGUGUCCUCUGUUGUUGGUUUCUAUAGCCUCCGAUUUUUUGGAAACUUUAUUCCCAAGAAGGAUGACACAACUAUGACAAAGAUCAUUGGGAAUUGUGUGUCCAUCUUGGUCUUGAGCUCUGCACUGCCUGUGAUGUCAAGAACACUGGGACUUGUUAUUGUUUUGACAUCUGCUUAUGGUGUGCUAAUCUCGAAAAUGCCAAAAGAAUCACUAGAUUUGAUCUACUUGGAGACUUUGGAAGGUUUAAUUGGCUGGGAAAUUUCUAUAUUGUAUUAUCCUACAAUUUGCUUUUUGCUAUUGUGACCACAUUGUGUCUGGUCAGAAAAUUCACCUCUGCUGUACGAGAAGAACUUUUCAAGGCCCUAGGGCUUCAUAAGCUUCACUUAUCAAAUACUACAAGGGAUUCAGAAACAUCCAAGGCAUCUGCAAACGGGCAUCACAAAGCACUGUGAGACAUGCAGCAGCACUCUGCAAUCAAGAGAUCUGGGACCCCCACACUCCUGACAUGCCUGUCAGUCAGAAAUGACUCGCACUGACCAUGCUUCACAUUUAGGGCCUGAACUUGGCAGUGCCAUUUCUUUCAUAAGCUCCUAAGAACUUGGUUGCCACAGGCCCUCUUCUCAUUUAACUUUGUGACGAAUCCCGCAGUUGCCAGCCAAACGCAGGCUCCUUAGGGCAGCACAUUCUUCUGUGGAUACAUUUGCUUGCACCAAUUGAUACAAUCACCCAUAUGAGAAUGCUAGAAAAGGCAAACUUUGGGGGCCUUCUAAGAAUUCAGUUAAAUACCAUUAUAUAUUUUAUUCAAAAUGGAGAAGCUGACGUGAAAGACAUUCUUGGUACUUGGAUGUGAAGUGAAGGCCCUGCAAAAAUGCAGGUUUAUAGGUGCCGUUAUUUCAGUGGGUGCAUUGGAGCAGUAGUUUGCAAAUGAUAUUUUUCACUUCCUUAAAGAAAAAGACAAAAGCAUAGUUCUGGUUUAUAUUUCAGAAUGAUAUUGAUUGGACUUUGAGUCAAGGGAAAAAUAGAAAAUUCUUUCAAAACCCGGUUCAUGCUAGGACACCACGGGAAUACCUUCCUCUGUACAGUGUAGUAGACUACAUAGGAUGUAGUCUUGUAGUUCUGUACAAGAUUAUGCACUUGUAGUUCUCUGACAUCUUUUGUGUAUGUAAUUUAGUAUUACCUCUCAUAACAUAGUUGCCAGUGUCGAAUACACUUGUAACUUGGAUUUUGCCUUAUAGGCUAUAUGUACACUUUAUUUUUUUAAGCAUUUUUUCAAAAUCUCUCAGUUCCUUGUGCUCCUGUGUCUGUUAUUAAACUACAAAUGCUCUGUGGUAGAACCCCCCCCCCCCACGCCCCGUCACCACAUUCUUCAGGCCUUGGUUACUUUUAUAUAUGCCAGUUUACACCUCAGAUUUAUAAACGUUUCCACUUUAACACCCAGAUGCACAUUGUCAGUGUUCAUGAUGUGAGAAUAGUUUUGUAGUGUAUCAUGAUCUGAUAAUCAUUCAGUUAUUAAAUUAUAAGUACUUCUGGGGAUGGUUUCUUGACUUUAAGUCCACUGAAUAAAAACUAUGAAAUUGUACUCUGUAUUACCAUCCACUCAGAGUACUGAAAACUGUGCAUGCAGAAAUGAGAGAUGAGCCCCUUUGUACAUACUUUGUAGUUAUGCAGUCUCUAUAAACACAUAGGUUCACAUGCACUAUGUGUAUGGCAACAAAUUGUCUGUGUUCAGACAAAAGUAAAAGAACAUUUUUCCCAAAUUGUUGAGUUUAAAGGGUGUUUUGGAAGAAAUUUAUGAAAAUCAGACUGUAUAUAUUUGACAAAAAAAUUUCCACAUAGAGCCAAAAAAAUAAGAAAAAUUAAUCUCUGUAUUCCUAAAUUCCAUUGAGUAUACUUCUUUAUUUAUACCUCUAUAUUUCAUUCUGAGCUUCUAUUGUUAAAAUCAGCCCAGUUUUAAAAUAAAAGAACAUUUUGUGAUUCUAAACAACACUCCAUAAAUACUGCCAGUCUAGUAUUGGUGACUCUCUCCACAUAAGAUAUGCAUAUUGAGGAAAUUAACAGAAGUUGGCUGUUUCCUAAUUUCACUGGUAAUUACACUUCUUUAAACAUUAAUUGCAAGCUUUGAUUUUUACUGAAACUUGCUUGCAAUCCAUAUUUUGAGCAGACUGUCAAGGGGAAAAGAGAAAGAAAAUUUUUUAAAUAAAAAAAGUCACUUGUAACUUACACUGGUUUCAGGGCACAUCCAUAGGAAGUUCUUGGGUAUUUGUAAGAUGUCUGAAAAUUUCUGAGUAAAAUAUUAAACUUUUCAGUGUCUAUAUCAAUUUUUUGUUCAUUUGAAAGUUUCUUUCCAUCGGAAAAUUUAGGCCAGGUUUGGAUUAGUAAGCAGUGAAAUGUAUUAUAAAUUCUUACAGCUGUUACUGGGUGCAUCUUUGUUGCUUUUGAGACAGAGGAUACUAUUGCCGCACAUGAAGGGCAGUUUUGAACCUUGGGUCUCAGAUGCCUUUUAUGGGAGCAAAUACAGGUCGUAAUAUACUCUGUUUGCCACAUGAUUACAGCCACUGGGGGUUCUAUAAAGAGUAUAUUCCUGGUCAUGUACACAAGAGUCUUCCUUUUGAGUAAGAGACUUAGUCUAAAUGCAGGUGUUUCUAUUGGACAUACACUGGCGGCUGGCUGCAUGAGGGCAUGGCAGAAAUGGGUGGCAGGCAGCACACUGAGGCCAAACGUUGAAGUCUGGUAAGAACAGCGCCCCCCCCCCCCCCCCAGCCCAGUCUUUCAUUUGUUGCAGUUGUUGUGCUGGUGAAGGAGAAGGCGGCUGGCCUGACACCAGAACACCCUGUUCCCACAGUCAGGAGUGGCCCUUGGGAUGGCCAUUUUAUUCUUGUUGGGUAGGGGGCUAGGUGGCUGUGUGAAGUCAGAUGCUCCGUUGACUUUUUCUCACCUUAGGAUCAACUUUAAAAGGGCAUCAGACACUGAAGUUACAAAGUUUUUUGUGGAGACUUAGCCUAUUCUUAAUUGGUUCUGUAAUACUUAUUUUAAACUUACAAAUUUUAUAGAUAACAUUUGUAAUUUUUACUGAUUUUUUUCCAAGAUAUUUCUUAGAUUUAGUAUUUACUUAAGCUUUAUAUAUAUUCUAUAUAAAAAUAGACCUGCUCUAAAAGAAGAGACUAUGUGAAAAUCGCAUGCACAUAGAUGUUAGCUCCUUUAGUGCCACACUGAGAGGUUGAUUGAUUUGUGGAUGAGAAUGAAGUCUUCUGCAUGGUUUGACUCUUGGAAUAUUCAGGUAGUGUUCUGUGUGCACCUGAUAGUAGGGGCAUCAGUGUCUGCUUGCUUUGCUGGAGCGCAGUAGACCCGUCUGUGCCCCCGUAACCGCUUAACCUGCCUACAGCACAGGCUUACGUCAUUUGAAAACCCUAUGUGGCUUUCUUUGUUGUUAGCACAGUAUUAAAUGUAUAAAGGCAGAAUUCUUAAAAUAAUUUUUAAAAAUAGCAUUUAUGUAGUACUGACUUUUAAAAAACUGGUAUGAUGUUACUUUUAAAAUAAUGUUUAGAUGCACUGGUAUAUUACUUUUGUUUACAGAGUGUUUUGUUUACAAAUUAUCUGUUGGCCAUGUUUGUUUCUAUGAGAUACUUUUAGUGUGACUUUUUAAAUGUCUUAGAAAUUAAAGUUUUACAAAAAGUGA